GAUUAACAGCAAAGGGAGAGGGGGUUCCAGGGAGGUGAAGGCUAUGGUGGCAGGGGUUUGGAAUUUCUGUGAUUCCCUCCAUAUUGUAGAAACAUACUAGAGAGCAAAACCAAAAUCCAAACCCUACUGAUACUUCUAUCCAACCCAGACGACACAGUGGUAAAGAAUCUUCCUGCUGACGCAGGAGAUGCAAGAUCCCUGGGUCAGGAAGAGCCCCUGGACCAGGAAAUGGCAGCCCACUCCAGUAUUCUUGCCUGGGAAAUCCCACGGACAGAGCAACCUCGAAGGCUACAGUCCAUUGGGUCGCAAACAGACACAACUGAGCAACUGAGCAUGCACACAUCGAACCAUUAGUCAACAACAAAACCAGCUGAACUCAGACGUCCACUGCUCCCUGCUGACCAGUGACCUCCUGAACCUUCCCUUCUGAGAUCCACCCUGAGGGCAGCACCUGGUCUUGGGAUGGAUGUUAGGAACCUUAAUUCCUCCCUAAAUCUACUGCCAGAUUCACUCCAGCGCACCCACAGGGCUGUAGCCUGGUGAAGAAUGCUGAGAACAGGACAUUUAGGGUGUUCCAACACAGUCCCUACAGGAGCAGGAUAUGCAUGACCCCAAACGGGACAGGUCCAUGGAGGCAGCCUACAGAUCUCUGAACCUCUUGGUCCAAAGGACAUCCCAGGAACUGCUCAUCACUUGAUUGAGGAGCCAGGUUCACUGCUGGCGUCCCUCCCAAGAAUGCUGAAAUCUUUUAAAAAACUAACUUAAUUUUUUGGCCAUGUGGGAUCUACUUCCUUGGCCAGGGAUCAGACCUGCAACCCCUUCAUUGGAAGCGUGGAGUCUUAACCAGAGGACCACCAGGUUGCCCGAGAAGCCAGUUGAAAACAGACCUCUCCGCCUAACCCAGGGCUUCUGGACCAGGGUCUCCAAGGCACGCGGAGCAGAGUUGGGUUAAGAAGUGGGUGCUGCUCUCAGGGCCAGGCUGGGGAGGCUCCACCUCACCCAAAUGAGCGUGUCCACAAAGGGGGCCCUGGUGCUGAAGCAGGCUGGCGGGGGGGGGAGGUUCCCACAGUGAUGUCGGACCGGCUCCCCCGCUCCGCAGGCGUUGGAAGCCAACCCCUUCACAGUGCUGGCUGUCAUGUCCCAAAUGAACACCAGGUGGCGACCAGGCUCCGUGCUGGUCCUGGAGACUGGGCAGGCUCUGCAUUUAAAAAAUUUUUUUUUCCUCGUCAUACUUGUCUACUGAAAAGUUGGCAGGGAAGUUUAUGCAAUGUGGAUUGUGGGGCAGUGACCUCAGUUUUCCUGCCCUAUGCGUGACGUGCCUUCAACAAUCUUGUGUUUGACCAUGAAAAUCUAUGGAAAUUUUGUA